CGCCCGACUACGCCCGACUCACUGCCCACGUUCGCGGCCGCCCUCCAUCCCUUCGACGCCGCCGCUCCAUCCCUUCGCCGCCGCUAACGUGCCGGAUCUUGCCUCAGUCGCCGCCUCUCCGCCAUGAAAGAGAGGGCUCCCGAUCUCCGCCGGAGUCGACCAACAGCGCGACGCGCCACCAGAUCGGCGACGCGCCGGGAUCGCCUCUCCGCCUCGGCGCUUGCGCUUCCAGAUCGAAGCCCACGACGGCGGCGUCCCAGAUUGGUGACGCGCCACCGUACGUCACGGCUGACAGCCGUGUCCUCGUCAAGGAAGCGUCGCUUCGAGGUGGCGGCAACCAAGGCCUCCCGGAUCCCCGCCUCCUUCCUCACAUCUCCGGCGGCGACAGCGACAAAUUCCGACACCAUGAGGCCACCGGCACGAGGAGGAUGCGGCGGGAGGGGUUUCGGCGGCAGGAGCGACGGCGGCGACCGCAGGGGGGCAGGGGCUUCGGCGGGAGAAGCGAUGGCGGUGGCCGCAGCGGCAGGGGUGGCCGGGGAGGCAGGACGCCCAGGGGCCGUGGUCGUGGCGGCGGGGGAAGGGGAGGGCCCGGCAUGAAGGGUGGGAGCAAGGUGGUCAUGGUGCCGCACAAGCACGACGGCGUCUUCAUCACCAAGGCCAAGGAGGACCCGCUCUGCACCAAGAACAUGGUCGCCGGGUAGUCCGUCUACGGCAAGAAGAGCGUCUCCGUCCAGCCUAUUCUGUAAUCUGUUCAAUUACAGAGUUUAUGAUCAUGUGAAUGAAGCAAGGGAUCUGAGAAAAAAAAGUUAUUCCUGCCCAUGUUUAUGUCAAGGAGCAUCACCGUAUGUGUUCAAGGAAUGCCAUUGAUUGUAUUAUCAUUAUUAUCUGUCACAAAUUUGGAGUCUGAAUUCUUUCAGAAUUCGAUUAUCUUGGAUUGAGACCUGCUGCACUGAGCCUUCAUCAUGUGCUUCCGAAAUAGCCCUGCCAUCUAUAAUUUGGCAGUCAGAUGGUGAUCUGAAACUUAAAAUGGAGCAAAUGGCCAUGAGCUCUAAUAAAUAUGAGGUUUUCUAUCACAACAUACCUCAGCUGCAGCGAAAAGACAACAGAGCCAUGGGUGCCGAGGGCGGGCACUGGUGCUCGGCAGAAGGCGUUGUCGAGGUGCUCACUGCUGCCCGGCUCUACUUGCACGCCACCAGAUUCAGAAUUGGCAUGGACCUGGGCGCCGCCGCCUUUGCAGCUGCUCCCCGUGUACAUAAUUUAUUUUGUAGAGGAAGAAUAUGGUAACUUAAACAAUAUUACAUGUGAUGCCAUGUCACUGCAGUGAAGCAUUCUUUUUGACUAGCAGUGAAUAGGGUUACAGUUAGUGAAUAGGGUUACAGUUUGUGAACUGAGAUGUUUGUGUAGUUGCUGCACUUUUAUAACUACUUCUGAUUAGUUGCGGAUGCAAUGAUGUUUAGCUGAUGUGGAAUAUUUUUGACUAGAAUCCUUGAUUGUGUAGUUGUUGCAUUUUUUAACUUGAUUUAUUCAUGCUUCAUACACACUGGAGACAAUUUCAUCUAAGAAAAAUCAAGUUCUGAUUUGAAAAAUAAUAAUUAAGUUCUUGGCACAAUUAACAUUGGAUGACCUGCCUUGCUAUAUGUGUUAGUUAGGCUGGAUGGAGUAGGAUUAGUUAGUGGAUCAGACCCCGGAUGCCUAUUGAAAAGAGUGGGAGUGCUACAAAGAUGAGGAGGAAGAAAUCCUAAAAAGGGUGCUCAUGUAUGUUGGGGAUUAGGAAAUGCAGUGAAAAAUACCAUGCAGUUCAUACUGGUAUCGUUUGACAAACAACAAUUUGUGCUCUGCUGUAUCAGCUUAGCGUGGUUCUCUUAGCUAUCUCCAUGAUGUGUCCAUAAUGUUGGGCAGAUGCUUUUUUCCCCAAACAUUGAACGUAUAAUACAUCUAAUUCUUGCAAGCAUGGGUUGGCUUGCUCUGGCUCGAAGCAACACAUGCUAGGCCUGACCGCAACUACUCUCUUUCGUCCACUUCCUCUUUUAUUUUUUUGCUUUUCUGUAUGCGCCUUUGAAUGUAUGCAUUUAAAAUGAUUGAACAUUAAUCAUGCUUUGUGGAGUAGAUCCAAACUUGCUUUGUGGAGUAGUUCUGAGAGUAGAUCUGAGAGUAGAUCCAAACUUGCUUUGUGGAGUAGUUCUAGAUUAGCAACAUCAUGCUGCCUUGCAAUUUUCCCUCUUCUGUUUGACCCCUUAACCUGUUUCUGGGACAUCCUGAAAAAAUUGUUGUCCACUGUUUAGGUUCGUGAAAGUUCAUUGCAUAAUUUGUUCAUUUCACUCGCAUUUUCCACAUGUUCUAAUGAUUAACAUUGUUCGGUUAUGGAUGAUGCCAUUCUGUGAUGCAAUAUGAUAUGCCACUGAUUGCUUCUCUACUAUCUGCAAUCCUUUUAGGCACGGGAAUGAGUUUGCACCUACUGUUGGAUUCUUCCUUACUACCCACCCGUCUCAGGAAAACACAUACUCUAAAGCAGUAAAACAUUUCGAGUUCUAUGAUCAGCUUGGACAAUACAAUUUGGAUUCUUUUGGAGACUGGGAACAACUUUCAAGCUACUUGUCACAAAGUUUCAUUGAACGCCUUGAGCCAACUGGUGGAGAAAUUACAAUUGCAUUGGAGACAUCAUGGUUGGAUAGAGCUCCCCAAACAGAUAUGGAGAGAUGAUUGAUAGAACAACUUAGAGAAGACAAAUUUGCAAAGAAAGGGCUUGUACAACCCGAGAGGAGAGGAUGCUAUUACACAACUAUCCCCGCUUCGGUUAAGCACAGAAACAUUUCUGCGGAUGAGGCAGGUGUGGAGGUCGCAGAGGAGGAUGGGGACGUGCUCACGAAGCCCUAGAGAAACAUGAGCUCAUGGGUGCCGACCUCCAUCACCCCCCUGAUGCUAUGCAGAGUGAAGGCGAAGAGCUAGCGGGGAGGACACCAACUACCUCUUCAUAAAUUUACUCCGCGUCAUCGUUCAUGUGGAUGAGGCCGGAAGAACCGAAGGCGUUGGCGGAAUUUGAGGAGGACGAGACGACAGGGAUGAUGAUGGCAUCAUUGUUGUUUGUAAUUGAGAGCAUCACGGUGGUGGGUACUGCGUGUGGGGGAGGAAGGAGGUGAGUCGGCUGGGUGCACUCCUACUGGUGCUAUCGAUGGCGGCACUAUGCUUCAGCCUUGUAGUGUGCUAUUGCUGGCAUGGUUUAGAUUCUACCAGCCACUAGGUGCACAACUAGGUGACAUUCCUAGAAGGGAUGUGCUACAUGCCCGACUAUGAUGGCGAUCGCGUCUACUACGUAUGUUUCAUCACUGCAGCGGUUCGAGCACAUUUACCGAUUCAACCCCAAUGAUCACUAUGCCAAGCCCAACCUCGUCUUCUUCAUACUUGUGUGCCCUUUAGGGUCCCAUGUAUGUCUGGCACGAGUUGCAUAUAGGUUCAGUCAGCCUGCAGCGUGCCUACGUGCACCAGUGUUGGAUUGGAGGAAGGUCAAGUUGUUCGAGAAAGCCCAACCAUGGGGAACAAGACACAUAAGGAGAGUGACCAAUGAGAGGAUGACCAUAACCAUUUUGGUGACAAAAAUUAUUUGGAGUUGAUGCUUUCUUUUCUUCUCUAUGCACAGAGUGUUUACUUUCUUGAGCUAUAGUUCUGGAUUGUCAGUAUUUGACCCAUGUUAAGGCAAAAAAAUUGUCCCA